UGGGCAUACCCACAAUCCAGGUGAAUACCUAA
rnacentral:piRNA from 1 species